rnacentral:rRNA from 1 species
ACUGAUUAGUGGCGAACGGGUGAGGAACACGUGAGAAACCUGCCUCGGAUUUUGGGAUAACAAAUGGAAACGUUUGCUAAUACCAAAUAACGUCGGAGAGCCUCAUGGCUUUCUGACGAAAGGAAUUCCGAUUCGAGAGGGUCUCGCGGCCUAUCAGCUAGUUGGCGGGGUAAUGGCCCACCAAGGCAACGACGGGUAGCUGGUCUGAGAGGAUGGUCAGCCACACUGGGACUGAGACACGGCCCAGACUCCUACGGGAGGCAGCAGUGGGGAAUCUUGCGCAAUGGGCGAAAGCCUGACGCAGCAACGCCGCGUGCGGGAAGAAGGCUUUCGGGCUGUAAACCGCUUUCAGCAGGAACGAAAAUGACGGUACCUGCAGAAGAAGGAGCGGCCAACUAUGUGCCAGCAGCCGCGGUGAUACAUAGGCUUCAAGCGUUGUCCGGAUUUAUUGGGCGUAAAGAGUUCGUAGGCGGUCAAGUAAGUCGGGUGUGAAAAUUCUGGGCUCAACCCAGA